CCUCCUACGGGGGGCAGCAGUGGGGGAUAUUGGACAAUGGGGGAAACCCUGAUCCAGCGAUGCCGCGUGAGGGAAGAAGGUUUUCGGAUUGUAAACCUCUGUGGAGGGGGACGAUAAUGACGGUACCCCUUUAGGAAGCCACGGCUAACUACGUGCCAGCAGCCGCGGUAAUACGUAGGGGGCAAGCGUUAUCCGGAUUUACUGGGUGUAAAGGGAGCGUAGACGGCUGCGCAAGUCUGAAGUGAAAGCCCGGGGCUCAACCCCGGGACUGCUUUGGAAACUGUGUAGCUAGAGUGCUGGAGAGG
rnacentral:rRNA from 1 species